GCAGGGAAUCUUGCGCAAUGGGCGAAAGCCUGACGCAGCGACACCGCGUGGGGGAAGAAGGCCUUCGGGUCGUAAACCCCUUUUCCCAGGGAGGAGAAUGGACAGUACCUGGGGAAUAAGGAUCGGCUAACUACGUGCCAGCAGCCGCGGUAAUACGUAGGAUCCGAGCGUUGUCCGAAUUUACUGGGCGUAAAGGGCGCGUAGGCGGCCCGUUAAGUCUCAUGUGAAAUCUCCCGGCUCAACUGGGAGGGGUCAUGGGAUACUGGCAGGCUUGAGGGCAGCAGAGGGAAGCGGAAUUCCCGGAGUAGUGGUGAAAUGCGUAGAUACCGGGAGGAACACCAGUGGCGAAAGCGGCUUCCUGGACUGUACCUGACGCUGAGGCGCGAAAGCGUGGGGAGCAAACCGG
rnacentral:rRNA from 1 species